UCAACUCAAAUUUGUAUGCAGUUGGAACAGCGCCCCUAGCGGCAAACGUAGGAACCCUGUCCAACCCCAUACAAAUUUGGGUUA
rnacentral:pre_miRNA from 1 species